CUACGGGAGGCAGCAGUGAGGAAUAUUGGUCAAUGGGCGCAAGCCUGAACCAGCCAUCCCGCGUGAAGGAUGAAGGUCCUAUGGAUUGUAAACUUCUUUUAUACAGGAAGAAAAACACGGACGUGUCCGUGGCCGACGGUACUGUAUGAAUAAGCAUCGGCUAACUCCGUGCCAGCAGCCGCGGUAAUACGGAGGAUGCAAGCGUUAUCCGGAUUUAUUGGGUUUAAAGGGUGCGUAGGCGGCUCUUUAAGUCAGUGGUGAAAUCCUGCCGCUUAACGGUAGAAUUGCCAUUGAUACUGAAGAGCUUGAGUACAGUUGAGGUAAGCGGAAUGUGUAGUGUAGCGGUGAAAUGCUUAGAUAUUACACAGAACACCAAUUGCGAAGGCAGCUUACUAAACUGUCACUGACGCUGAUGCACGAAAGCGUGGGGAGCGAACAGGAUUAGAUACCCCUGUAU
rnacentral:rRNA from 1 species